rnacentral:rRNA from 1 species
UUAUUUUUACAGUUAGUCAAAUUUUGAAUUAAUCUUCAAAACUUUCAACAACGGAUCUCUUGGUUCUCGCAUCGAUGAAUAACGCAGCGAAAUGCGAUAAGUAAUAUGAAUUGCAGAUUUUCGUGAAUCAUCGAAUCUUUGAACGCACAUUGCGCCCUCUGGUAUUCCAGAGGGCAUGCCUGUUUGAGCGUCAUUUCUCUCUCAAACCCCCGGGUUUGGUAUUGAGUGAUACUCUUAGUCGGACUAGGCGUUUGCUUGAAAAGUAUUGGCAUGGGUAGUACUAGAUAGUGCUGUCGACCUCUCAAUGUAUUAGGUUUAUCCAACUCGUUGAAUGGUGUGGCGGGAUAUUUCUGGUAUUGUUGGCCCGGUCUUACAACAACCAAACAAGUUUGACCUCAAAUCAGGUAGGAAUACCCGCUGAACUUAAGCAUAUCAAUAAGCGGAGGAA